AGAAGCCAACCUGAUAAAGUUAGCCGACCGUCCCGAGUUUUGCAUCUAUACGGGUAAUCGUAUGGGUGGAGCGUAAACAGGGAGGCAGUAGGCCGUAAGGGUGAAGGUAUUCAGUUCCGAAAAUGCUUAUGAUGUGGAGCGAGUCGACGUGGUUAAGGAACACGGAAGACAGCAACGAAGCCAUCGAUAUAGGUGAGAUGGCGGAUACUCCACCGGGGUCAUAGUCCA
rfam:Nitrospinae bacterium RIFCSPLOWO2_12_FTLL_45_22 rifcsplowo2_12_scaffold_22761, whole genome shotgun sequence.